rnacentral:tRNA from 1 species
AAUUAAUUAGUUUAAUAAAAAAUAGUAAGUUUGAAACUUAAAGAUAUUGGAAAAUAUAUUAAUUU